UGGAAAGGAAUAUGAUUUUGGAUGGUCAUCUAAAACCCACGAACUGACGACGAAGUGGAGAUUUGGGGAUUCCUUGCAUCUUCAACAUCAUUUUCGUCCAUCAUCAUCAGAAGAAUCCGAGAAAACAAAGUGGAAAGGAAUAUGAUUUUGGAUGGUCAUCUAAAACCCACGAACUGACGACGAAGUGGAGAUUUGGGGAUUCCUUGCAUCUUCAAUAUCAUUUUCGUCCAUCAUCAUCAGAAGAAUCCAAGAAAAGAAAGUGGAAAGAAAUAUGAUUUUGGAUGGUCAUCUAAAACCCACGAACUGACGACGAAGUGGAGAUUUG